rnacentral:rRNA from 1 species
GACGAACGCUGGCGGCGUGCUUAACACAUGCAAGUCGAACGGAAAGGCCCUGCUUUUGUGGGGUGCUCGAGUGGCGAACGGGUGAGUAACACGUGAGUAACCUGCCCUUGACUUUGGGAUAACUUCAGGAAACUGGGGCUAAUACCGGAUAGGAGCUCCUGCUGCAUGGUGGGGGUUGGAAAGUUUCGGCGGUUGGGGAUGGACUCGCGGCUUAUCAGCUUGUUGGUGGGGUAGUGGCUUACCAAGGCUUUGACGGGUAGCCGGCCUGAGCGGGUGACCGGCCACAUUGGGACUGAGAUACGGCCCAGACUCCUACGGGAGGCAGCAGUGGGGAAUAUUGCAAAAUGGGCGGAAGCCUGAUGCAGCAACGCCGCGUGCGGGAUGACGGCCUUCGGGUUGUAAACCGCUUUCGCCUGUGACGAAGCGUGAGUGACGGUAAUGGGUAAAGAAGCACCGGCUAACUACGUG